GUGCUCGCUUCUGCAGCACGAAUUCUAAAACUGGAACGAUACAGAGACUAGCAUGGCCCCUGCACAGGACUGUGUGCAAAUUCAUGAAGCAUUCCAGAGGUUU
ensembl:snRNA Gm24716 U6 spliceosomal RNA